AGCGAACGUUAGCGGCAGGCCUAACACAUGCAAGUCGCACGAGAAUUGGUCUUCGGGCCAUAGUAAAGUGGCGGACGGGUGAGUAACACGUGGAUAAUCUGCCCUUCGGCGGGGGACGAACAGUCCGAAAGGAUUGCUAAUACCGCAUUCGUCGGCAGGGUCCUUGGACCUUGUCGGGAAAGAUGGCCUCUUCAUGAAAGCUAUCACCGGAGGAUGAGUCCGCGGCCCAUCAGCUUGUUGGCGGGGUAACGGCCCACCAAGGCAAAGACGGGUAGCUGGUCUGAGAGGAUGAUCAGCCACACUGGAACUGAGACACGGUCCAGACUCCUACGGGAGCAGCAGUGGGGAAUAUUGGGCAAUGGGCGCAAGCCUGACCCAGCCAUGCCGCGUGAGUGAUGAA
rnacentral:rRNA from 1 species